rnacentral:rRNA from 1 species
UACGGGGGGAGCAAGCGUUGUUCGGAUUUACUGGGCGUAAAGGGCGCGUAGGCGGCCACCGCAAGUCGGUUGUGAAAUCUCUGGGCUUAACCCAGAAAGGUCAGCCGAUACUGCGGGGCUAGAGUGCAGAAGGGGCAACUGGAAUUCUCGGUGUAGCGGUGAAAUGCGUAGAUAUCGAGAGGAACACCUGCGGCGAAGGCGGGUUGCUGGGCUGACACUGACGCUGAGGCGCGAAAGCUAGGGGAGCGAACGGG